UACGAAGGGGGGCUAGCGUUGUUCGGAAUUACUGGGCGUAAAGCGUAUGCAGGCGGACUUUUUAAGUCGGGGGGUGAAAUCCCGAGGCUCAACCUCGGAACUGCCUUCGAUACUGGAAGUCUUGAGUCCGGGGAGAGGUGAGUGGAACUCCGAGUGUAGGGGGUGAAAUUCGUAGAUAUUCGGAAGAACACCAGUGGCGAAGGCGGCUCACUGGCCCGGUACUGACGCUGAGAUACGAAAGCGUGGGGAGCAAACAGG
rnacentral:rRNA from 1 species